GCCAUAGCUCAGUGGUAGAUCAUCUGCUUCAUAUGCAAAAUGUUCCAGUUUCAAUCGUGACAUCUCUGGGUAGGGCA